rnacentral:rRNA from 1 species
UACGAAGGGGGCUAGCGUUGCUCGGAAUUACUGGGCGUAAAGGGCGCGUAGGCGGCCUGCUAAGUCGGAUGUGAAAUCCCUCGGCUCAACCGAGGAACUGCAUCCGAUACUGGCGGGCUUGAAUCCGGGAGAGGGAUGUGGAAUUCCUGGUGUAGCGGUGGAAUGCGCAGAUAUCAGGAGGAACACCAAUAGCGAAGGCAGCUCGCUGGGACGGUAUUGACGCUAAGGCGCGAAAGCGUGGGGAGCAAACAGGG